AUGGAUUUGCUCCUGUGCCUCGGGAUUGGUUUCCCUCAGCUCAUGCUGCAGGAAUGCCAGACAAAAAUCCCGGCGGGACCACGGCUCUGCUCCAGAUCCGCAUCCCGGCGUCCUGGAUCGACCUUCCUGCCUCAGGAUAUUUCGCACACAAUGGUUGGCCUCGUUUUCCAGACAAUUACGGGGAAGCGGCAUCCGAGCCACAUUCCGGCUCCUUUGAUGCCGGGUGACUUCAGGGCGCUCGAUGACAGGACACGGGCCGGGGGAAGAUCCUCACCCUCUGGAAUCACCCCCCGUUCCCGCAGCCUCAUUCCUUUCUCCAUGUAUUUAUAGGAUUCCUGCGUGUCCCUGCAUUUCCUCCUGAAUUUGGGAUCACGCGUGGAUCCUGAAGUUCAUCUGUCCGGUUUUCUCUGGGAGCUUUUUCCUUUUCCCUCCAACUUCCAGGGGAGGCUCUGCACUCCAGAAUUUGGGAUUCAGAGCUCAGGAGCUGAGGACAACCCCAGUGCCCAAACCUGAUCGCAAAUACCAACCAGAAUCAUGGAAUUAUGGAAUAUCCUGAGCUGGAAGAGAUCCAUGAGGAUCAUCUGAGCCAGCUCCUCUCAACCCUCCAUCCCUGGGAAUUCCAUCAGCUCUGAGAUCCAGACUGAUUUUUCCUGGUGGGAGAUAUCGGAGCGGGGUCAGGAGAACCCUCAGUGCCGCGCUUCCCUGUUUAUUUGUGGAUACGGAUCCCCAGUUGGUGAUUCCAUCCCUGGGGGUAGGGAAGGGUGGGAAUCACUCGUCCCAGCUGUUGAUCCUUUGUUUUCCAACACUUUCGAGGUGUCCCGGAGGGUCUGAAAGUCCCUGAGCACACGUGGAUAGUUGGGAUGAGCAGGAAAUGACCCCAGGGGCCGUCGCCAUCACUCAGGGUUUGAAUUUAGGCUGAGAAAACUCCAAAAUUGGGAUCCAGGACACAACGGGAUUCAUUUUCCUUUUUUUUUUUUUUUUCACAGUCUGGGAUGGAUCUGCCCUCCGGAACUUUAUUGUCCCUGUCAACUCUCCCAUUCUUUCGGGACAAUGAGCUCUUAGACUCCUGACACUGGGAAAAAUCCCAACGGCUUUGGUUUGAGCUGCUGACAGAGGGCUGGGAGACGAGAUAAUGAUGAGGAUGAUAAAUUAUGAUUAUUAUUAUUAUGGUGACAAAUGAUGGUCCUUUCUUCAUUCACCUUCUCCAGGACAACUUUGUCCAGACCUCUGUUCCAUUCCCAGCCAGGAUUUACUUCCCAAGUUCUUCACUCCAAAGCUCUUCAGGCUGGGAAUCACCUCAGGUUUGGGGAUUCUUUCCUUUCAUCCCCUGGGGUUUGG
rnacentral:lncRNA from 1 species